ACCGGCGCACGGGUGCGCACCGCGUAUGGAACCUACCUUGUACAGGGGAAUAGCCUUUGGAAACGAAGAUUAAUGCCCCGUGGUACCAUGGCCCGGCAUCGGGAUAUGGUUAAAGCCUUCGGGCGGUACAAGAUGGCCAUGCGUCCCAUUAGCUUGUUGGUAAGGUAACGGCUUACCAAGGCUACGAUGGGUAGGGGCCCUGAGAGGGGGAUCCCCCACACUGGUACUGAGACACGGACCAGACUCCUACGGGAGGCAGCAGUGAGGAAUAUUGGACAAUGGAGGAGACUCUGAUCCAGCCAUGCCGCGUGCAGGAAGAAUGCCCUAUGGGUAGUAAACUGCUUUUAUACGGGAAGAAAAAGAGCUACGUGUAGCUUACUGACGGUACCGUAAGAAUAAGGACCGGCUAACUCCGUGCCAGCAGCCGCGGUAAUACGGAGGGUCCGAGCGUUAUCCGGAAUUAUUGGGUUUAAAGGGUCCGUAGGCGGGCCGAUAAGUCAGGGGUGAAAGUUUGCAGCUCAACUGUAAAAUUGCCUUUGAUACUGUUGGUCUUGAGUUAUAGUGAAGUUGCCGGAAUAUGUAGUGUAGCGGUGAAAUGCAUAGAUAUUACAUAGAACACCGAUUGCGAAGGCAGGUGACUAACUAUAUACUGACGCUGAUGGACGAAAGCGUGGGGAGCGAACAGGAUUAGAUACCCUGGUAGUCCACGCCGUAAACGAUGGAUACUAGCUGUCCGGGACCUUGAGUUCUGGGCGGCCAAGCGAAAGUGAUAAGUAUCCCACCUGGGGAGUACGUUCGCAAGAAUGAAACUCAAAGGAAUUGACGGGGGCCCGCACAAGCGGUGGAGCAUGUGGUUUAAUUCGAUGAUACGCGAGGAACCUUACCAGGGCUUAAAUGCAUAUUGACAGGUCUAGAGAUAGAUUUUCCUUCGGGCAAUUUGCAAGGUGCUGCAUGGUUGUCGUCAGCUCGUGCCGUGAGGUGUCAGGUUAAGUCCUAUAACGAGCGCAACCCCUACCGUUAGUUGCCAGCAUGUCAUGAUGGGGACUCUAACGGGACUGCCGGUGCAAACCGUGAGGAAGGUGGGGAUGACGUCAAAUCAUCACGGCCCUUACGUCCUGGGCCACACACGUGCUACAAUGGCAGGUACAGAGAGCAGCCACGUCGCAAGGCGGAGCGAAUCUAUAAAACCUGUCACAGUUCGGAUCGGGGUCUGCAACUCGACCCCGUGAAGCUGGAAUCGCUAGUAAUCGGAUAUCAGCCAUGAUCCGGUGAAUACGUUCCCGGGCCUUGUACACACCGCCCGUCAAGCCAUGAAGCCGGGAGUGCCUGAA
rnacentral:rRNA from 1 species